rnacentral:piRNA from 1 species
UGCCCAGCAAGUCAUCUCUUCCCUACUCC